rnacentral:rRNA from 1 species
UACGUAGGGCGCAAGCGUUGUCCGGAAUUAUUGGGCGUAAAGAGCUCGUAGGUGGCUGGUCGCGUCUGCCGUGAAAGCCCGCAGCUUAACUGCGGGUCUGCGGUGGAUACGGGCCGGCUAGAGGUAGGUAGGGGCAAGUGGAAUUCCUGGUGUAGCGGUGAAAUGCGCAGAUAUCAGGAGGAACACCUGCGGUGUAGACGGCGUCCUGGACCACUACUGACACUGAGGCACGAAAGCGUGGGGAGCAAACAGGAUUAGAAACCCUAGUAGU